rnacentral:rRNA from 1 species
UACGGAGGGUGCGAGCGUUAAUCGGAAUUACUGGGCGUAAAGAGCACGUAGGUGGUUUGGUAAGUCGGAUGUGAAAGCCCCGGGCUUAACCUGGGAAUUGCAUUCGAAACUGCCUCACUAGAGUCUAGCAGAGGGAUGCGGAAUUCCGGUGUAGGCGGUGAAAUGCGUAGAGAUCCGGAGGAACAUCAGUGGCGAAGGCGGCAUACCUGGGCUAGACUGACACUGAGGUGCGAAAGGACUGGGGAGA